rnacentral:rRNA from 1 species
UACGUAGGGUGCAAGCGUUGUCCGGAAUUAUUGGGCGUAAAGAGCUCGUAGGCGGUUUGUCGCGUCUGCUGUGAAAACUCGGGGCUUAACCCCGGGCCUGCAGUGGGUACGGGCAGACUAGAGUGCGGUAGGGGAGACUGGAAUUCCUGGUGUAGCGGUGAAAUGCGCAGAUAUCAGGAGGAACACCGGUGGCGAAGGCGGGUCUCUGGGAUAACACUGACGCUCAUGCACGAAAGCGUGGGGAGCAAACAGG